rnacentral:rRNA from 1 species
GCCUGAGCCCAUACCGCCCUGAACAUACCUGGUCUCAUCACGGAAGCUAAGCAGAGCUGCGCCUGGUGAACACUUGGAUAACAGAACUGUGAUUCAGAGAAAGCUGAAGUA